UACAGAGGUCCCAAGCGUUGUUCGGAUUCACUGGGCGUAAAGGGUGCGUAGGCGGUCGGGUAAGUCUGAUGUGAAAUCUCACAGCUUAACUGUGGAACUGCAUUGGAUACUAUCCGGCUCGAGGAAUGGAGGGGAGACUGGAAUACUUGGUGUAGCAGUGAAAUGCGUAGAUAUCAAGUGGAACACCAGUGGCGAAGGCGAGUCUCUGGACAUUUCCUGACGCUGAGGCACGAAAGCAAGGGGAGCAAACGGG
rnacentral:rRNA from 1 species